UGCAUAACACAUGCAAGUCGAGCGAGACUGGUCGCAAGAUCAGUCUAGCGGCAGACGAGUGAGUAACACGUAAACAAUCUACCCUCGAAUGGCGAAUAACCAGCCGAAAGGCUGGCUAAUACGCCGUACUCUCCUUUGAAGGCAUCUUCAGAGGAGGAUAGAUCCGCAAGGAUCGUUCUUGGAGGAGUUUGCGGCCCAUCAGCUAGUUGGCGGUGUAAUAGACCACCAAGGCUACGACGGGUACCCGGCCUGAAAGGGCGGACGGGCACGAUGGCACUGAGACACGGGCCAUACUCCUACGGGAGGCAGCAGUGGGGAAUUUUGGACAAUGGGCGAAAGCCUGAUCCAGCAACUCUGCGUGAGGGACGAAGGUCUUCGGAUCGUAAACCUC
rnacentral:rRNA from 1 species